rnacentral:rRNA from 1 species
GACGAACGCUGGCGGCGUGCUUAACACAUGCAAGUCGAACGGAAAUGCCCUGCUUUUGUGGGGUGCUCGAGUGGCGAACGGGUGAGUAACACGUGAGUAACCUGGCCUUGACUUUGGGAUAACUUCAGGAAACUGGGUCUAAUACCGGAUAGGAGCUCCUGCUUCAUGGUGGGGGUUGGAAAGUUUCGUCGGUUGGGUAUGGACUCGCGGCUUAUCAGCUUGUUGGUGGGGUAGUGGCUUACCAAGGCUUUGACGGGUAGCCGGCCUGAGAGGGUGACCGGCCAAAUUGGGACUGAGAUACGGCCCAGACUCCUACGGGAGGCAGCAGUGGGGAAUAUUGCACAAUGGGCGGAAGCCUGCUGCAGCAACGCCGCGUGCGGGAUGAGGGCCUUCGGGUUGUAAACCGAUUUCGCCUGUGACGAAGCGUGAGUGACGGUAAUGGGUAAAGAAGCACCGGCUAACUACGUG